rnacentral:rRNA from 1 species
ACGAGCGGCGGACGGCAGAGUAACGCGUAGGAACGUACCCCAAACUGAGGGAUAAGCCCGGGAAACCGGGUCUAAUACCGCAUAUUAUUUUCGAAUCAAAGCCUUCGGGCGGUUUGGGAGCGGCCUGCGUAUGAUUAGCUUGUUGGUGAGGUAAUGGCUCACCAAGGCGACGAUCAUUAGCUGGUCUGAGAGGAUGAUCAGCCCGACUGGAACUGAGACACGGUCCAG